GCCUGCUCCACACCUGGGUCUGACCAGGGUGAGUGGAUCUUUUGGAACCUAGACAGAGCACAACUGAAAGGGUUGACUGAACUCCCACAAAGAUGUCCUCCUGCACCAGUCUCAUGCAUCUCGUUCAUCAGUGCCUUUCAUACCUUCAAGAGCUCUUGCCUCAGAGCAUUGCUAUGCCUGAGGUGUGUCUCAGAAGCAGCCAUUGGCACAGUGGCUUGGGGCUGGGCUCAAAAAUUUGCUCUCUUGAAGUUUGGAUGUGAUUGCUCUGAACAAGCUGCUUUGCCACAAUAA
rnacentral:lncRNA from 1 species